rnacentral:lncRNA from 1 species
UCGGUGCUCUCCCUCUGACAGAUGUCACACAAAAACUUCUUCUUUUUUUUUUUUUUUUUUUUUUUGAGACAGAGUCGCAUUAAGUAGCCCAGGUGACCUUGAACUGAUGGUGAUCCUCUCACCUCAGCCUCCCAGGUGCCGCGAUUACACAGGUGAACCAAGACUUCUUACGUAUCGCCAAAGCUGGUAGAGUUCCUUUGCCAAAUAUCUUGACUUCUCCUCAAUAACCUUGACCCAGAAGGAGCAGUCAUGUUCUGCAUUGCACCAGAGCUCUGUGUGAAAAAUAUGGCCUAAGAAAUAGACUGGAAUUGAUUCGUGACCAGAAAACACAGCUCCACGAUGGCUGCCAGACAGAGGUCGCGUGAUUAAGAGCGGGCGGGCACUGAGCCGACCCCAGGCCAAGACAGGAAGACUUGUGCACAACGUGUGUGUGGCAUUACACCGAAGGGCUGAGAGCUGGAAGCGGCAACCGACGUCCUGUCAAGGGAGCCUGGUACAUCUGGGCCACGGGCCACAGCUCAGCAAGCACCAGGGGAAGAGCAGCUGCCUGGGGGCGCUCCGGAGGGCGAAGCUGAGCAAAGAGGGCCAUCCCGAGGGGCCUCAUUCUGCAUGAAUAGUAUCUGCUGUCAGAAUCCCAGCCGUGACACAGCACCCUGGUUUCAAGCAGUGCUGCCCUGGGGGAACUGGGAAGGCGGAACAGGGACCAUUCUGAGUGGUUUCUAACCAUGCGUGAAUUAAAGCGAUUGCAGACUCAAACACACUUAAAAUCGUCCCGACAGAAGCAGACAGAGUAGACCAGGCUGCCCAUGGAUGGGAAAAACAUACCAAGC